ACUUCCUGCCAGGGAGAGAACAGGGUGUGAUAGACGUGGGGCCCGUAAACUGAGCAGAUGGAGUGCUUUGUUUUUAGCAUGCUGGACAGGCUCUUCUGGGGAUCUGAACUUCCUGUAGCUAACAUAGGAAACCCAAAGUAGUACCUGGGGCCCUCCCCUCCUGAUUCUGAUUUUUGUAUUAGGACCACCAUGACCUUCUGACAACAUUGUAGCAUUUAUUGAGAGAGAAGAGAUCACCAAAAUGACCACUUUCAAUAUUGACCAGUCACAUGCCCAGGAAGUCUGUUAUCUUACCAGCAACAAAAACCGGUUUUCUCACAUGUUACAAAAGGGGAAAUAAAGGCCCAAGUAGGGGCUGAGCGGGAAAAUUCUGAUGCCAGUAGAAUAAUGGCAUUGCAAGUUUGUUUAUAAUUUGUCUUGGAGGCAGAAGAAAGUAUUUUAUACAGUAGCUUGUUUUCUAGAAAGGUAACUGUAAAUGGCAUUUUUGUGGCAUGUGGAAGUUCCCAGGCUAGUGGUCGAAUUGGAGCUGUAGCUGCCGGCCUACAAUGCCUCAGACACAGCAAUAUGGGAUUCGAGCCAUGUCUUUGACCUACAUCACAGCCCAGGGUAACACCAGAUCCCCAAUCCACUCAGCAAGGCCAGGGAUUGAACCCACAUCCUUAUGGAUACUAGUCGGAUUCAUUACACUGUGCCACAACAGGAACUCCCGGAAUUUUACUUUAAAUACACUUUAGGAGUUGGCUUUUUAAGGGAUUCUUUUGGAGACCUCCUUGUGAUAAUUCUUUAUGGUUCAUAGGUUUGUAUUUUUGAUGCUUUUCAUCCAUCCCAGUUUUUUAAAGCAACAAUCAUUUUAAUUUUCUUACAAGCUAAAUAAAUUGCUCUUUGCUCUCUGGAACAAUUUUUUUGAUCUUUGUUACUUUCCUUGAGGAAAAACAAGGUUUUUUUUUUUUGUUUUUAGUUAAACAUUUUUGCUUCCUUGUCUUCAUUUCUUUUUAUUUCCUAGAGUUACCAAAUGAUGAGAAGACUAGGAAUUUAUUGAUUUUUUGACUUCAUUAUCAAGGCACAAUCCUGAGAAAAUUAGGAAAGCCCCAUCCACCCCACCCUGGAGAAUUACUGUAUUAAAUGGUCUAUUACAGCAUAACAUUAUCUGAUUAUUUUUCUCUUGUCAGUGAGAAAAAAUGUGUGUUUUAAUGGGAGUAUAGGAAAGAAGGAGUAAUCUUGGAAUCUGGGGCACCCAGGAGGAUGGUCUUAACAAAAGGAAAAAGUUCCAAGCUGCCAAGAAGUUGCAGAAGGGAUUCUGAAUAUCUGGGAAGUAUGUUGGAGAAGCUACUCUGUGUUGAAGAAAAGGAAAAUGGGAAGGCAGAAAUAAAGCAAACUUGGAUUCCUGCACAAUUUAGUUUAGGAAAGACUGAAUUUUCUUAGCAUAUUUAAUUUCAGUGGUUGCCAGUCAUUUGAGAAGAAAGAGAGACCCAAAAAGAGACCUCUUCCUUCCAAUAAUUGUUGAUCAUUCAUAGGGACCAGGGACUUUGCUAAUUUUCAGCCAUACAAAGCGUAACAAGAAAUUCUUGUCCUCAAAGAGUUUACACUCUAAAAGAAAGAGGCCAAAGGGAGAAAAAAAAGAUAAAAUAGAUUUCCAAGUUGUGGUAUAUGCAAUGAACGACACAAAAUAUACACUUCUUAUAUUUUUUGUUUUCGGUUUUCUACAAUUUAACUGCCCUGUAAAAUCUGGGGUAAAAUAACAGCCAUCUCCAUAAUUUAUAUAAUCAACUACUGUUGGCUUAGGUCCUAUGUAAGAAAUUCUAGGAGUUCCCGUCCUGGCUCAGUGGAAACAAAUCCAUCUAGGAACCAUGAGGUUGCGGGUUUGAUCCCUGGCCUCGCUCAGUGGGUUGAGGAUCCGGCAUUGCCGUGAGCUGUGGUGUAGGUUGCAGAUGUGGUGUAUGUUGCUGUGGCUAUGGCAUAGGUCAGCAGCUUUCGCUCUGAUUAGAUCCCUAGCCUGGGAACCUCCAUCUGCCACGGGUGUGGCCCUAAAUUAAAGAAAAAAAAAAAAUCCUACAUAGGAUUUCUAGUGAUUGAUUACCUUAUGACAAUCUUCAGAAUCUUUUUAUUUAUUUAUUAUUAUUUAUUAUAUUUUAUUUUAUUUUCCCACUGUACAGCAAGGGGAUCAAGUUAUCCUUACAUGUAUACAUUACAAUUACAUUUUUUCCCCCCAUCCUUUGUUCUGUUGCAACAUGAGUAUCUAGACAAAGUUCUCAAUGCUACUCAGCAGGAUCUCCUUGUAAAUCUAUUCUAAGUUCUGUCUGCAGAAUCUUUUGAAAUUCUGUAGACCUAGCAUAUUAAACACUGAGGAGGUCUUCAGAGCCAAUUCUAGUAACUAAGUCAGUGAGGUUGACUGCUGCCUAUGAGGUUUCUAUUGAGACCUCCUUUCUGUUUGCUAGCCCUACCUCCAACACAAUGCCCAUCCACUGGCUACAUAUCCAGAAAUUCCAGGGUUGAGAAUUCUAAGAGACUGGCCUAAGAGGAAAACAGCAAGAGGUGAUUAGUCAUAGAGCUGCUAGUGACAAGAAAGAGAGGAAAAAGGAAUAUACACAGAGGCCCCCCCCCCAAAAAAAAAACAAACAAGAAAACUGACUGAAAAUAUUCCAUGUAGGAGAGUGAACUCACAGCAUUUCCAGAUCACAGUAGUAACCCACGUAAACAGGCAGGGUGGGGAAGAGAAUUUAUCCUAAACUGAAGGAUAGUGUGGGAAGCCACUGGAGGUCCCAAUUCUAUGGUAGGCUUCAGGCACAGUCCUGAACAUUCUUUUAGGCAUGUGAUUACAAAGCCAUUAGAAGUAGGAAAUCAAGUAGAUGACUUAUUCUUAUAUUACAAGGAUAAUGGUGCUGUAGUUGCUAGAACACUGAGAGACAAUGUAAAAAUCUAUUAAUGCCUUGUUCUUACAUACCUACUACUGAAAAAGGCAAGAAGAGUAAUGAACUAGAACAAUCAAGUAAAAUGACUCUUCUUGAGCCAUUUUAUGUGUGUCCAUCAGCCUUUCAGGGAAACUCAUCCUCCACCCUGUUCCAAAGUAUUCCUGGUCAGGUGGUUUGGUCCAAGGAUGAGUAUGUGAUUUAGGCUCAGCCAAUGAGAGUAUUUUAUCUUCCUAAUCACUGUGAUUUGCUCAUGAAAGAGUGUGGGAUAUAAGGUGUACCAGUCAGAAGUCUCUCUGGCUAUCCGGAAAAACCCCCUUUCUCUAGGAUCACAGACUCUAAGAACUGUAGAGGUCUCGGACAGACAGAGUCCAUCUUGCUGCCUCAGAGUCAACUUGAAGGUGGAGCCAAGAAGAGGCAAACAGUAGCUAGGGAGUAGGGGAAAAGAGAGCCUAGCUGAUACUAUAUCCAUUCUAAGGAUCCUUGUGUGGAUGAAGAUGAGUAGAAGGACAGGUGUCUACCCUUCUCUGAGGAUAGAGCAAUCAUGGCCAUGACUGACUAUAAACCAGUUGUCAGGAGCAAAUAACCAGCAUGGGACUGUUUGAGGCUGCUUGUCUUUGGCUGACUUCAAGAUUAGUGUAUACCAGUUCAUUCUCCUUGAAGCAUUACUGUGCAUCCCACUGCCUGAUGUCAACCAGAAUCACCCCAUUUACCCAGGAAAAUGUGUGAAGGAGAAAUAGGAAGACCAAUAUAGCAUCCAAGUCCAAUAUAAUUGGUCUACUUGUCUUUCUCACACAUUGGACUUUAAGAUGUUUGAAGGCAGGUCCUGUCUCUCCCACUAUUGGAUCUUCAGACCUAGUACAGCCCCAGAAUUCAGUUAUUUCAGUGAAGCAUUGAAUGAGUGAAUCUGAUCAAACGUACAGAGAUGGAAGCCGUGAAAUAUUCAGCCAGAUAAAUUAUUUGCUUUGGAUUAAAGCACUCCCUCUCCGAACAUCCUCUGAAAAAAUGCAAAUAUUCAAAGGAGACAUGAGGUAUUUCCCUCUUAACCAGCAAUUCUCAUUUUUGGCAGCUAUUAGAACAAGGGGAACUAUAAAAACUGGAUUUUAGAGAACAUUCUUAGUGUGAUAGAAAGGGUACAUAUUUAUGUAACUAAUGUGAAAAAUGCAUUGGCAUUAUCUCCUAAAGUUGAACAUUUGUAUACAUGUGACCCAACAAUUAAUUCACUCUGAGGGAUGGACCCAAGGGAAACUCAAGCAGAUAUACAGUAGGAGACGUGGAAGAAUGUUCAUAGCUGCAAUGAUCACAAUGCAAAAACCUGGAAGCAACUCAAAUGCCCAUCAACAGGAGAGUGGAUGGAUAAAUUGUGAUGUAUUCACACAACUGAGUAUUAUAUGGCAGUAAAAACGAUGAAUAACACUAAUGUACAACAAUGCGUAUGAAUGCUAGCAAUGAAACAAAGCUAAGUGAAGAAAGUAAAUGCUCAAAAUGUGUACAAUAUGAUAUUUUUAUAGAGUUGAGGACAACUAAUAUAAAACUAUACUUCAUAGAAAUAUAUAGAUUUAAUAAAAUAUAUAUUU
rnacentral:lncRNA from 1 species